AUUGAACGCUGGCGGCAGGCCUAACACAUGCAAGUCGAACGAGUGGCGGACGGGUGAGUAAUGACUGGGACACUGCCUGAUGGAUGGGGAUAACUACUGGACACGGUAGCUAAUACCGCAUACCAUCGGAUGGGACCAGGUGGGAUGAGCUAGUGGGUGGGGUAACGGCUCACCAAGGCGACGAUCCCUAGCUGGUCUGUGAGGAUGACCAGCCACACUGGAAAUGAGACACGGUCCAGACUCCUACGGGAGGCAGCAGUGGGUAAUAUGGCACAAUGGGCGCAAGCCUGAUGCAGCCAUGCCGCGUGUAUGAAGAAGGCCUUCGGGUUGUAAAGUACUGUCAGCUGGGAGGCGUUACCCGCAGAAGAAGCACCGGCUAACUCCGUGCCAGCAGCCGCGGUAAUAC
rnacentral:rRNA from 1 species